GAGACAGCAGUCGCCGCGGUAAUACGUAGGUGGCAAGCGUUGUCCGGAAUUAUUGGGCGUAAAGCGCGCGCAGGCGGAUCAGUUAGUCUGUCUUAAAAGUUCGGGGCUUAACCCCGUGAUGGGAUGGAAACUGCUGAUCUAGAGUAUCGGAGAGGAAAGUGGAAUUCCUAGUGUAGCGGUGAAAUGCGUAGAUAUUAGGAAGAACACCAGUGGCGAAGGCGACUUUCUGGACGAAAACUGACGCUGAGGCGCGAAAGCCAGGGGAGCGAACGGGAUUAGAUACCCCAGUAGUCCCUGUCUCUUAUACA
rnacentral:rRNA from 1 species